rnacentral:rRNA from 1 species
UACGUGGGGACCGAGCGUUGUUCGGAUUUACUGGGCGUAAAGGGCGCGUAGGUGGCUUGACAAGUCACUUGUGAAAUCUCCGGGCUUAACUCGGAACGGCCAAGUGAAACUGUCAUGCUAGAGUGCAGAAGGGGCAAUCGGAAUUCUUGGUGUAGCGGUGAAAUGCGUAGAUAUCAAGAGGAACACCUGAGGUGAAGACGGGUUGCUGGGCUGACACUGACGCUGAGGCGCGAAAGCCAGGGGAGCAAACGGG